rnacentral:lncRNA from 1 species
CUCUGUGGCUGAUGGGAGGACCAGGGCUGAUGAAAGGAUGGAGCCAUGAAGGGCAGCCCUCCUGCUGCGGGUCGCCCUGCUGCUGCCCUGGGCCUGCAGCUCCUGGCACGUGGGUCUCUGGGACUCCUUGUGGAUGUGCCUCUCCAGGGCCCUCCAUCCUCGGUGGGCAGGAGACUCCCCUAGGGAGCUUGCUCUCAAGUAAAUUCAUGGCCAUCGGACGAUAUUAAUUAGACAUACACGGCAUCAGGACCUUCACAGCCACCACAGUUCUCAAUAGCAUACACACGGCUGCCACAAAUACACAGAAGUUUUGGGAAUUAGCUCUGUGAGACAGGCCUAUUUCAGAUAAGAAAAAUGAGGAUCAGAGAAGCUGAAAGUCUUGCGGAGGACACCCCAGCAAGGCGAAUUACAGGCCCAGAAUUCUAACGAGGGCAUCCGGACUCUGGGAUUACAACCGCCUUCUGCGUCCCAGGAAAAACCUCCUCUAGUCAUGCCCAGAUCUGCCUGGUCUAAAAACCACAAAAAUCGCAGGACUUUCCACUGAGUCAAUGCUUGUC